rnacentral:rRNA from 1 species
GGAUUUCGGUUGAGAACGGCCGGUCCGCCGUUUGGUGUGCACUGGCUGGUUUCAACUUCCUGUAGAGGACGCGCUCUGGCUUCACGGCUGGACGCGGAGUCUACGUGGUUACUUUGAAAAAAUUAGAGUGUUCAAAGCGGGCUUACGCUUGAAUAUUUCAGCAUGGAAUAACACUAUAGGACUCCUGUCCUAUUUCGUUGGUCUCGGGACGGGAGUAAUGAUUAAGAGGAACAGUUGGGGGCAUUCGUAUUUCAUUGUCAGAGGUGAAAUUCUUGGAUUUAUGAAAGACGAACUUCUGCGAAAGCAUUUGCCAAGGAUGUUUUCAUUAAUCAAGAACGAAAGUUGGGGGCUCGAAGAUGAUUAGAUACCAUCCUAGUCUCAACCAUAAACGAUGCCGACUAGGGAUUGCAGGAUGUUAAUUGAUGACUCCUGCAGCACCUUAUGAGAAAUCAAAGUUUUUGGGUUCCGGGGGGAGUAUGGUCGCAAGGCUG